GAGGAGGCCCGAGGGAGUCCUGAGCAGAAAGCAUUUCUGGACGGCAGUGCUGUGGAGAGGGGAGGAGGCAGGACCUGGCACUGGGGAAGCCUACGACGGCAGGUGCCCUGAGGAUGAAGACUGGAUGGAGACGUUGCAGGGAUGGGAGCCCAAAAUUGCGGCAUUUCACAGAUUCAUGAGCAUAAGAUGCUAAAUUCACUCGCACGGUAUAUCCAAACUGAACUGUACAUGCCAAGAUACUGAAACCCCCUCCAAGUGGAAACAGUUAACUGUGUGCUGCCCACAAGCACUAGACCGCAAAUGCUUUGGGACAAGAAGGUUGAUGAUGCUGACUCCUCCGAGUUACCUCCCCACCAACCAAUCAGAAGAAUUUCCAUGAGCCGAUCAUACCCUCCUCUUUGCACCAUUACUAUAAAACUCCUCACUACCACCUCCAGGUUGAGACACAGUUUUGAGGGCAUCAGCCCACUGUAGUCCCCUUCGCUUGGCAAAGCAAUGAAGCUAUC